UACGUAGGGUGCAAGCGUUAAUCGGAAUUACUGGGCGUAAAGCGUGCGCGGGCGGUUUUGUAAGCCAGAUGUGAAAGCCCCGGGCUCAACCUGGGAACUGCGUUUGGAACUACAAGACUAGAGUGUGUCAGAGGGGGGUGGAAUUCCGCGUGUAGCAGUGAAAUGCAUAAAAAUACAAAAGAACACCGAUGGCGAAAACAGCCCCCUGAAAUAACACUAACGCUCAUGCACGAAAGCGUGGGGAGCAAACAGG
rnacentral:rRNA from 1 species